AUAUAUAUAUCUCAUCAAAUGGCUUGAUAUUCUCCAUCCAAUAAGGUGAAGGUGUGGCUUGAAGAGAAUAAGGAUACAUGUUACUCGAUUAAUUAAAGAAAAACUCAUUGGAAUCUGAAAUCAGAUGGGAAAUCUUCCUUUGUUUGGUUUGGGUUUGCCGCUUAUAAUGUUAGAUGAGUAGCAUCCAGCUGGGUAUUGGAGAAAUAAUUAAUGAAUAGGUAUAAAUAGUUAAUCAAGGUGGUCCAAAUACAAAAAUAAUUUGAUGGGAUGGGAAUAUGAUCAAUUUUUAAUCUAAGUGUGUUAAACAUGAAAUUAGAGUGAAAUAGUGGGGAUUUUUGUGCAUAAGGUCAAUGGGGAAAACUUGGUCGGGCCCUUGUUUGACCUAAAAAGAUUGAUAUAAUCUUCUUCUUUUUUUUAUGUCUAGGGUCCGAACCCAUUGAAAACCCUACAAACCCCGUGUUUCAAGUAAGCCACAAAUAUGGUAGGUGAUCGCAAGGUGAUUCGAACCCAAGAAGUCAAUAAAAAGAGUAAACCUUCUUGACCGUCAGA